rnacentral:rRNA from 1 species
UACGUAGGGUGCAAGCGUUAAUCGGAAUUACUGGGCGUAAAGCGUGCGCAGGCGGUUGUGCAAGACAGAGGUGAAAUCCCCGGGCUUAACCUGGGAACUGCCUUUGUGACUGUACGGCUAGAGUGUGUCAGAGGGGGGUAGAAUUCCACGUGUAGCAGUGAAAUGCGUAGAUAUGUGGAGGAAUACCGAUGGCGAAGGCAGCCCCCUGGGAUAACACUGACGCUCAUGCACGAAAGCGUGGGGAGCAAACAGG